UGGGGUGACUGCGUACCUUUUGUAUAAUGGGUCAGCGACUUAUAUUCUGUAGCAAGGUUAACCGAAUAGGGGAGCCGGAGGGAAACCGAGUCUUAACCGGGCGUUAAGUUGCAGGGUAUAGACCCGAAACCCGGUGAUCUAGCCAUGGGCAGGUUGAAGGUUGGGUAACACUAACUGGAGGACCGAACCGACUAAUGUUGAAAAAUUAGCGGAUGACCUGUGGCUGGGGGUGAAAGGCCAAUCAAACCGGGAGAUAGCUGGUUCUCCCCGAAAGCUAUUUAGGUAGCGCCUCGUGAAUUCAUCUCCGGGGGUAGAGCACUGUUUCGGCUAGGGGGCCAUCCCGGCUUACCAACCCGAUGCAAACUGCGAAUACCGGAGAAUGUUAUCACGGGAGACACACGGCGGGUGCUAACGUCCGUCGUGAAGAGGGAAACAACCCAGACCGCCAGCUAAGGUCCCAAAGUCAUGGUUAAGUGGGAAACGAUGUGGGAAGGCCCAGACAGCCAGGAUGUUGGCUUAGAAGCAGCCAUCAUUUAAAGAAAGCGUAAUAGCUCACUGGUCGAGUCGGCCUGCGCGGAAGAUGUAACGGGGCUAAACCAUGCACCGAAGCUGCGGCAGCGACACUCAGGUGUUGUUGGGUAGGGGAGCGUUCUGUAAGCCUG
rnacentral:rRNA from 1 species